UACAGAGGUCCCAAGCGUUGUUCGGAUUCACUGGGCGUAAAGGGUGCGUAGGCGGUCGGGUAAGUCUGAUGUGAAAUCUCCAAGCUCAACUUGGAAAUGGCAUCGGAUACUAUUCGGCUGGAGGAAUGGAGGGGAGACUGGAAUACUUGGUGUAGCAGUGAAAUGCGUAGAUAUCAAGUGGAACACCAGUGGCGAAGGCAAGUCUCUGGACAUUUCCUGACGCUGAGGCACGAAAGCCAGGGGAGCAAACGGG
rnacentral:rRNA from 1 species